rnacentral:lncRNA from 1 species
CAGAACCAGUGGGGGGGGAGGGGGGAAGGGGGGCGGACAGUGGACUCCCAGUCCAUAGGAAAGGAGGAGGGAGAGGCACAGGAGGAAGCAGCAAGAGGGCGGCAUGAUCCCCAGGCCCAAGGAUACCUGUAGCACCUGCCGAAGCUCCCUGGGAGGCUCAGGCCCUUCCCUCUCGAAGAUUCGCUCUAGCUCAGUUUGGAACAAGGGGUGCUGA